UACGAACUGUGCAAACGUUAUUCGGAUUCACGGGGCUUAAAGGGUGCGUAGGCGGCCAUGUAAGUAGGGUGUGAAAUCCCCCGGCUUAACCGGGGAACUGCGCCCUAAACUGUGUGGCUUGAGUGAGAUAGGGGUGUGUGGAACUUCCGGUGGAGCGGUGAAAUGUGUUGAUAUCGGAAGGAACGCCGGUGGCGAAAGCGACACACUGGGUCUCAACUGACGCUGAGGCACGAAAGCCAGGGGAGCGAACGGG
rnacentral:rRNA from 1 species